UCUUAUAGAUGAGCAAAGAAAGUGGUUUCGUUGAGAUGGAAUCUAACUCCUGAUGAAGAUUUUGUGAA
rnacentral:pre_miRNA from 1 species